UACGUAGGGUGCGAGCGUUGUCCGGAAUUAUUGGGCGUAAAGAGCUUGUAGGCGGUUUGUCGCGUCUGCUGUGAAAAUCCGGGGCUCAACCCCGGACUUGCAGUGGGUACGGGCAGACUAGAGUGUGGUAGGGGAGACUGGAAUUCCUGGUGUAGCGGUGGAAUGCGCAGAUAUCAGGAGGAACACCGAUGGCGAAGGCAGGUCUCUGGGCCACUACUGACGCUGAGGAGCGAAAGCGUGGGGAGCAAACAGG
rnacentral:rRNA from 1 species